rnacentral:rRNA from 1 species
GAUGAACGCUGGCGGCGUGCCUAAUACAUGCGAGUCGAGCGAACGGACGAGAAGCUUGCUUCUCUGAUGUUAGCGGCGGACGGGUGAGUAACACGUGGAUAACCUACCUAUAAGACUGGGAUAACUUCGGGAAACCGGAGCUAAUACCGGAUAAUAUUUUGAACCGCAUGGUUCAAAAGUGAAAGACGGUCUUGCUGUCACUUAUAGAUGGAUCCGCGCUGCAUUAGCUAGUUGGUAAGGUAACGGCUUACCAAGGCAACGAUGCAUAGCCGACCUGAGAGGGUGAUCGGCCACACUGGAACUGAGACACGGUCCAGACUCCUACGGGAGGCAGCAGUAGGGAAUCUUCCGCAAUGGGCGAAAGCCUGACGGAGCAACGCCGCGUGAGUGAUGAAGGUCUUCGGAUCGUAAAACUCUGUUAUUAGGGAAGAACAUAUGUGUAAGUAACUGUGCACAUCUUGACGGUACCUAAUCAGAAAACCACGGCUAACUACGUG